AAUGUUGAUUGCAAACACAGCGCAAACGAAAGUGUAAAUGAGAAAGAAGAAAGGAAUCAGCAGACCUUUUACAUGCUUUUACGUGCAGAAAUAUGAGACAGUGGCUUUAUCUGAUUGGCUUUGCGCAAAAUUACAGUGCUUUGAUGUGUGAAGAACCAAAUGUCCGUAUCAGUUGAAGAUUGAUAGUCGCGGUAACGACUAUCACUCUAAACUCAGAGUCAAUAACAGAUGUUUUUCCUCCACAACUAGAGAAUCGUUCUAUUUAUUGUGAAAAUUUUCAAAACAAUUUUUAACACACAGUGGAAUUUGACAAAAAGUGCAAAUUACUUUCGUUCGCUUUUGAAUUUUACUUUUUGAGCUGCAAAGUUUGCACCUGCGUGGUGUGCUGAUAACUCUCGGCAUGUGUUUGGCUCCUGUGGCGAAUCGUACUUCUUGCGGAACACUACACUUAAAGUAAUUCAAUGGACGGCCCAGUGUUCUUUUGCUUGAAAAACCAUUUAUCAUCUGUCUGGCCAGCUUCAACCGUGUACAUGCAUGUGCGGACGAUCGCGUCUACCUGUAUAAAUAACAAAUGCAAUGAUGAAACCAGUAACUGCAUCAGCUAAACACCAAACUUUAUAGCCGCGCUUUAUGGGUUUUAGCGGCAUGUAUUGCUUCAGAACGGAACGCCCUUUAAACUUGAUCAUGGACUCAUCCACGGUUACAAAGGACGAAGGAUCGUACACUUUCCCAAUAUUUUCGUUCAACAGGUCCAAUAGUGGCCGCAACUUAUGCAAUUUGUCAUAGUCAGGAUGUGUUUUCGGCAAUAAAUUUUCGUUGUUGUUGAGAUGCAA